ACUAAAAUUUAACCAAGGAGUAAGCCACUCUACAUUUUUCAGAACACCCCAUGAGAAACAGAAAUAAUUAUGUUGGUUGAAUUAAAAAAAUGCAUAGGAAUACUUACUUUUCCCAUUCCCUACUUUCUUUCCAGUCUGAAAGCCUAGCCUCAUUUGAUCACCCUCCAUUCAACUUUUAAACAUUGUCCAUCACUAUUGUAUAGCAACAAUACAGUUUUUAUCUUUAAUAAGGAACAAAAUGCAAUCACUAUCGAGAGGUGAAUUACAAAACCUAACGGUAUUAGGAAACCAAUAUAAAGUAUAUAUAGUAGAAAAAUUUAAACUUGGAAUUACUGUUAUUUUCCAGUUUCUCUGGUGUCAGUUCUCAGUAUUUUCCGGAAAGCAUCCUCAAGGCUUGCUUGACCCAACUGUCAUCCUAAUGCUGUCCCAGGUGUUGCAGUUACUAAUGUGAGCAAGAUGUACUCCCAGCCUCAGCCAGUGUAUACUAAAGUUAUAUAAAGGAUAUUCUGGGAGCCAGGAGGAGGAGUAAAUAAAUUAGACUGGGCAGAUGGAGCACAGAAAGGCUUUUUAACAGAAAUGAAUACUUUCAGACCAGUUUGGAGGCAUUGAGUAGGAGUAAGCUAAAAGAGAAAGAGCAGGACAAAAAGAACACUGCUUUUGGAGUUUGAAGCCACACUGGAAACGAGUCUUCCAGGGUGUCUGAAAGAGGAAAGUCUGUUCGUGUGGGAUAAGAAGUGAGGGGAGAUAAAUGGACAGUGGACAGAAUGCCGAGGGCUGCAUGGGCUGAGAUGAGGGCUGUGGACUAGAUUUUUAUAUUUAGGGCAAAAUAGUGAAGGAAUUUAAGCGUGGAGUGACAGGGGAGAAUACCAGCCUGCAGGAACAGAAGGCAAAGUUCUGUGGUUGCCAUGGAUUGGGGUGGCUCGGUUGGCUUUCGAGGUAAAAGUCUGCAGUUGAGAAGUUCAAGGGUAGUAAGUACCCAAGGUCAGGUAUGAGAUCAAUCAAACCUCUUAAAACAUGGAUGUCAUCUUCAGUGUUUUUAGCAGUAGAGGUCGAGAAGAAAAACAGGUGGCUACUGAUAUCCAAGUCCUCCACAAAUACCAGGGAGAGUCAAGAGUUUGACAGAGGAGAUGGAUCGUGCUGGUUACUGUGAGCCUCAACACUUGUGCUUUUGUUUCAAGGUGGGGGAGAUGUGCUUUGGAGGUGCGAUAAGAAAGUAACAGGAAUGUGCCCGUGGAGGAAGGUGGGAGGCUGAGUUAUCUCCUCUUGAGAGGGGUUGAGUUACGUCAAAGUUUAAGGGAAGAAAAUCUAUGAAUUUUCUACCUAAAGGAUUCUAGAAGUAUCAGUGGUCCACAGUGUCUGUUCUCCACAUGACAGCCAGGUCCUGAGUUGAAGAUCAGGUCACAUCAGUUCCCUCACUGAAGCUUCCCAAGGCCUUCCAACUACUCUUAAGUACUGCUGUGGAAAAGAGGACAAACUUCACAUUUCUGGCAUUGUUAAUGACAACACAGCCACUGAGAAAGAAAGCAUGAAUCUCUGGGAGUACCAUUAGGAUACAGGACUCCUGCUGCGCUCACCGGUUCCUUGCUCUGCACAGCUGCUUCCUCAGCUGGGGGUUUGAAAUCAGCACUGUGAGAAAAGACAGCAAUGACCAUGAUGCAUCUUCCUCGCUAGGAAAAAAAGAUUUUAGAGUCAUCUUGCCAAUUUCUACACAGUACUCUUGCAUUUUCAUUGGUAAGUUCGUUAAUCUCAAUUUAGGAUAACUGACAUGGUAACAAUAUUGAGUCUUUCAAUUCUGAAACACGGUCCAUUAAAAAUCUAAAAAUUUAGAUUUUUAAGUUUUGUUCAGGAAAUUUUGAGGUUUUCACUAAAUAAAUUCUGUACAAAAUGUUUUAAAUUUAUGCUCCAAUAUUUCUUGCUUUUAUAUUUAUAGUAAAUGGUGUUAUUUGAAUUUUAUUUUCUGAUUGUUCAUUGCUAGCAAAUAAAAAUAAAAUUUAUUUUUUGUAUAUUCUCCUAGUAUGCUGAAAACUUGCUAAAUUCACUUGGUUCUAGGAACUUCUUUGUAGAUUUCUUAAGAUUUUCUAUGUGCAUGACCAGAAUAUAUGUGAAUAUAGGCACAUUUAUAUCCUCUUUUCCAACUUGUAUCCUUGUUUCUUUUUAGUCUCUCAUUGCACGUGUGGUACAAUUCUGAAUAAAAGUGAUGCAAGCAAGAGCUUUGCCUUGUUUCCAUUUUUAGAGGAAAAGCUUUCCGCCUUUUACCGAUAUGUAUUAUGUUUGCUGUGAGAUUUUUGUAGAUAUCUUUUAUUAAGUUGAAGACAUUCUCUUUCAUCUAUAGUUUGAUGUGAUUUUAUUUUUGUCAUAAGAGGCUUUAAAUUUUGUGAAAUGUCUUUUCUAUAUCUAUUGAGACAAUCAUAUGGAAUUUACCCCUUUUUAUGUCAAGUGCAUGAAUUACAUGUCAACUGUGUAUUCCUGGGAUACAUAAACUCCACUUUUUUAUGUUGCACAUUCCUGAUGUUGUUGGAUACAAUUUCUUCAUAUUGCAUUAAGACUAUUGUUUCCAUACUUGUGGUAGGCAGAAUGAUGGCUUCCCCAAAUAUGUCCACAUCUUAAUCUCCUAAACCUGUGGAUAUGCUACAUAAUAUGACAAAAGGAACAGGUUAAGAACCAUUAGAUGGGGAUAUUAUUCUGGAUGAUCAGGGUGGGCUAAAUCUAAUACCCUGGGUCUUUAAAAGCAGAGAAACUUUCCUGGCUUUGGUCAGAGAACUGUGAUGCUGCCGGCUUUGGAGACCAGGAAAGGAGAUAUAAGCCAAGGAAUGUGAAUGGCUUCUACAAGCAGAAAAAGGCAAGAAACUGGGUACUGCAUUCGUAGGGCACCAAGAAAGAAAUGCAGCCUUGCUAAACCCUGAUUUUAGCCUAGUGUGUCAGAUUUCUGACCUACAGAACUAUUAGAUAAUAAAUCUGUGUUGUCUAAGCCACUAAGCUUGUGGAAAUUUGUUCCAGCAGCAAGAAAAACUAAUACAAUGUUCAUGGAGGAUAUUUGACUGUAGUUUUCUUGUAGUUUUCCUAGUGUGUAUUAUCAGGGUAAUACUAACUUUGUGAAAUAAGCUAAGAAGUGUCCUCUCUCAUUAAAUUUUAUAAAACAAUUUGUGUAAUUAUACAUUAUUAUUUCCAAAAAUGUUUGAUAGAUUUCACCAAUGAAGAUAUCUUUACUUUUCUUUACUUAAACUUUACUUUUCUUUGUGGGCAGGUUCUAUAUUAAAAUUGAAUUUCUGUGAUGAAUAUAGGGCUAUUCACAUUUUCUAAUUCCCCUUCUGUCUUUUUUAUAAUUUUUAUAUGUUUAUUUUAUUUAAAACUUUUAAUGAAUUGGGAUAAUUUUGAUUAUAAUAUCCCCUUAUGACUUUUCAAUGUCUGUAGCAUUUCUUAUAGUAAUAUUCAGCUGAUGAAUUUUCACAACUUCAUUUUUGUCUGAAAAAACAUUUAUUCUGUCCUCAUUUUUGAAAGAUAGCUUUCUUAGAUACAGGAUUUUAGGUUAACAAGCUUUUGUCCCCCCCUUUUAAUGCUUCACAAAUGAGAUUUCAUUUUCUUCUGGUUUGCAUUGCUGCUGAAAGAAUACUCCAGACUUUCUUUUUCCCUUUGUGUGUAUAAUAACCUUUUUUAGCUGGCUGAUUUUAGGAUUUUUUCUUUAACACUGGUAUUAGCCUGGGUUUGAUGAGCCUUGCUAUGAUUUUAUUUGUGUUUAUCAUGUUUGGAGAUUAACUGAGAUUAUUGAAUAUGUGCUUUUUAGUUUUUCAUUCAUUUAAAAAAGUCUUGGAUAUUAUUUUAAAAAAUUUUCUUUGUUCUCUUCUCCUCAUCUUUUCCUUCUGGUAUUCCAAUUUCACAUGUAUUAGACAACUUUAAAUUAUCUACCUAAUCAUUGAGACUAGGCUAAUUUUUACUUUUCUCUCUCUCUUUCUCUCUGCUUCUGUUUUGUAGAUUCAAUUGCUAUGUUUUCAGUUCAUUGAUUUUUUUUCUUCUGCAGUGUUCAGUCUAAGUCUGCUGUUAAGCCCAUGUUUAUAUUUCCAGUUUCAGAUAUUAGAUUUUUCAGUUCCCAAGUUUUGAUUUGUUCUGUUCUUUAAUUUCAGAAUAUUAUGAGGGUUCAAACAUUUUGGUUACAUACAUUGCUUUGGUAUCAUUUAAGUCAAAGUUAGACGUGUGCUCAUUCCCCAGAUAGUGUGCACUGUACCCGUUAGGUGUGAAUUUAUCCACCCCUUCCUCCCCUCUUCCACCUGCUU